UACGUAGGGGGCAAGCGUUGUCCGGAAUCAUUGGGCGUAAAGCGCGCGUAGGUGGCCCGGUAAGUCCGCUGUAAAAGUCCAGGGCUCAACCCUGGAAAGCCGGUGGAUACUGUCGGGCUCGAGUCCGGAAGAGGCGAGUGGAAUUCCUGGUGUAGCGGUGGAAUGCGCAGAUAUCAGGAGGAACACCGAUGGCGAAGGCAGCUCGCUGGGACGGUACUGACACUGAGGCGCGAAAGCGUGGGGGAGCAAACAGG
rnacentral:rRNA from 1 species